rnacentral:rRNA from 1 species
UCGAAACCUGCAAAAGCAGACGACCCGCGAACACGUUAAAAAGUACCAAGGUGGAUUGGUGAAGGGUGCGAGCCCUGAUCCAGUCCGCUUGUCGGGWCGCRAAGUYGGMKKGCAUCCCUUGCGGUUGUGGCCGCUCCGCGUUCUCGCACAACUUAAAAAUCCGGCGCGAUUGGCGUCAAGGAAAUCUUAGCGGAAACAAAGCGUUGUGCCUUCACCGGUACAUCGCCAAGAAUCCCAAUACUCAAACGACUCUCGGCAACGGAUAUCUCGGCUCUUGCAUCGAUGAAGAACGUAGCGAAAUGCGAUACUUGGUGUGAAUUGCAGAAUCCCGUGAACCAUCGAGUUUUUGAACGCAAGUUGCGCCCGAUGCCAUUAGGUUGAGGGCAAGGGCACGUCUGCCUGGGCGUCACACACAGCGUCGCUCCCCACCARCCUAGUUGGUGAAGAGCGGAGAUUGGCCCCCCGAGUCCUCCGGGCACGGUCGGCACAAAUAUUGGUCCCCGACAGCGAGUGUCGCGGUCAGCGGUGGUUGUAUUCUUCCUCCAAAGACAAAAUGACGCGUACCUCGUUGCGUGCGGGAUCGAAACGACCCCUGAAAGCCGUUCGCGGCAUUCACCCUGCGACCCCAGGUCAGGCGGGAUUACC